rnacentral:rRNA from 1 species
GUAAAGCCCUGUCGGGAGGGACGAAUUCAUGACGGUACCUCCAAAGAAGCACCGGCUAACUCCGUGCCAGCAGCCGCGGUAAUACGGAGGGUGCGAGCGUUGCUCGGAAUUACUGGGCGUAAAGCGUACGCAGGCUGCCUUGUAAGUCGGGUGUGAAAGCCCGGGGGCUCAACCCCGGAAAUGCGCCCGAGACUGCAGGGCUUGAAUGCGGGAGAGGAUAGCGGAAUUCCUGGUGUAGAGGUGAAAUUCGUAGAUAUCAGGAGGAACACCUGUGGCGAAAGCGGCUAUCUGGCCCGACAUUGACGCUCAUGUACGAAAGCGCGGGGAGCAAACAGGAUUAGAUACCCUGGUAGUCCGCGCCGUAAACGAUGAGUGCUAGCUGCUGGGAAUGUUUUACCGUUUCAGUGGCGAAGCUAACGCAUUAAGCACUCCGCCUGGG